rfam:Actinoplanes friuliensis DSM 7358, complete genome.
GGAGGAUUCGCCUAGUGGCCUAGGGCGCACGCUUGGAAAGCGUGUUGGGGGAAACCCCUCACGAGUUCGAAUCUCGUAUCCUCCG